UUGCUUUGUUACUUUCGCAUCGUUCGGUGCAUUCUGGGGGCUGUGAUGGCUUUUCGUGGCUUGCUUGGCCUUUUGGCUUGGCUUGUUGCUACUUGUCGGGCGGCCUUCGGGAAUGUCGACCGUGGAGGUGCAUGAGUGGUGUUUGGUUUGUUACGUGUGGAUGGCUGUUUGCUUGCGCAACAACGUUCACGCUGCAUACCUCUUCAGUUUUGCGGCAAGGCUUUGUUUGGCUUGUCCAUAUUGUGGGUUUCCUGUGUUGCAUACCUAGUUGAUGGAAAAGUAUGGGUUUUACGAUUUUCAUUUUCGUCCUGCGUCGUUCUUUCGGCAUGGGAUGAGCAAUGAAGCGAUCUUUAUGAUCCACCGUGCUGUUGCGUUUGCAACAAUGAUGUGGCCUAUGAAGCAUCGUUUGGUCUCUUGUAUACGGAAGCUCAUUUGGGCUUGGGUCUUUAUAAGAUCUUCGUUAUGCCCUUGUUAAGCGUUCUCGCUUCUCCUAAACGAUUGCCUGCCAUGUUACGGCUUGUCCC
rnacentral:misc_RNA from 1 species